rnacentral:rRNA from 1 species
CAAUAGCGUAUAUUAAAGUUGUUGCGGUUAAAAGCUCGUAGUUGGAUUUCUGUCGAAGACGGCCGGUCCGCUCUAUGAGCGUGUAUCUGGUUCGGCUUUGGCAUCCUCGUGGGGAACGUAACUGUGCUUGAUUGCAUGGUACGGUAUUCACGACUUUUACUUUGAGGAAAUUAGAGUGUUCACGGCAGGCAAGCGCCUUGAAUACAUUAGCAUGGAAUAAUAAUAUAGGACUUUGGUUUUAUUUUGUUUGGUUUCUAGAGCUGAGGUAAUGAUUAAUAGGGAGUAGUUGGGGCGAUUCGUAUUUAACUGUCAGAGGUGGAAAUUCUUGGUAUUUGUUAAAGUAACGGACUACUGCGAAAGACAUUUGCCAAGGAUGUUUUCUAUUGAUCAAGAACGAAAGUUAGGGGAUCGAAGACGAUUAGAUACCGU